GCGUGCCCGUCAUUUUGUAACGGUCAACUUCCAGCAGACGGACACGGAGGAAAGGGCCUGACAACCACCAGUUGAGUCCAUGAUUCAGGGAAGAGACAGUCUGGGCAGCAGCAACAAGACAACUAUUACAAGUAGAGAUGGGUUUCAAGAACUGGUACUAAUUUGGUUCCUGACUUGUUCGACACAACCACAUAUCCUCCAAAUCAUCUCUGCGUGGAUGGCAGCAAGGAUCCAGGAUCAAGAGAUCAUUCUUCAUGGAGACUGUUCCACAGGAAGCAGUUUCUCCUGGGUGAAAAACUAAACCUGGUUGUUUCAGCAUCACUCAG